AGCGGGCGCACAUCCGGGACGCGUUUUCAAAAUAAAGCUCCGGGGAGAACAACGGCGUUUUGACGGUGACACAAAGAGACAAUGAAAGGCGUGUGGCAUAUUUCAGGAGGAUGAUGCGGUAAAUAAAAUGUGAAAUGUGCCACUUCCUGUCUGGCUGUUGUUUAUCCGUGUGUGACUUGACGGGCUCGGUCACAAGGGGCGGCUCAUGGGCGAGUCCAUUUAACAAAAAAGGGAGAAAAAAAGUGGGAGCAGGGAGGAGGGAGUGCGAUGUGGCAGAGUGAUGCUGUGGGGCCAUCUAGUGACGGACACAGGUACUACAGGUUCAGGUGGGUGAGGAAAAAAGCACCUUAUGCAGAAGAAAGAAGUAACCAUACAAUAUAUUAAAUAAUCUUUACUGCUUGGCUCUCAUAACUGAAUACAUUUAAUAAAGAAACUCUCCUCAAAGGAAA